GAGGGUUUUUUUAAGUUAUGCCAUGAAAACUAUAAAAUUUUAGCUUUUUCUUUUUUACGAGUUAAUGUAUAUAGGCAGAGAUAAAACUGGAAUUUGAAAGUUUGGGGCUUAGAAGGCCCAAGUUAAUUUCAUUAGGAAUUUAUCAUUAGGGGUUUGGGUCUUUUUUUUUUUUAAUUGGGCUUGCGAAAUUCAGGUUCUUAUUAUAUCUGCUAAGACUAUCUAUAUAUAUUGGGUAAUGAGUGGAUUUUGAAAAUAGGCACUUUGGAAUAGUAGAUUUAAAAUUUAUUCACUAAGAUAGAAAACUGAAAAAUUAAUUAUACUUACCAAUUUACCCUUGCAUAUAAAAAUAGUGAAUUCAAGUUUUAAAAAAGU
rnacentral:lncRNA from 1 species